UUCAGCUUUGAAGCAGAAAAUGUUCUCCACAGCUGCAGGGAGGAAGUUUACAAGAUACAUUUGAAGGUCACAGUGCAUCUCAGUGCUUUAGGCUGGUGUUAAGGAUUAAUGCAGAUGUUGGUCAAGAGAGAACUUUUCUCCCAAGUUUGACUUAAAAGGUCAUAUACAUGUUGGAAAGAUUUGAAAAUUUCUCAAGAAGGUGUUGCCACAGCUGCAUAUUUGAAAGUAUCAGCCAACUUUAAAAUCAAGAAGAUGUACUCUAAUAAGAACAGCGGGCCAUUGCUCUGGACUUUGCAACCUUCCACAUUAUACAUGAAUCUAUCCUGCAGCCAUUUGG